rnacentral:rRNA from 1 species
CCUACGGGGGGCAGCAGUGGGGAAUAUUGGGCAAUGGGCGCAAGCCUGACCCAGCAACGCCGCGUGAAGGAAGAAGGCUUUCGGGUUGUAAACUUCUUUUCUCAGGGACGAAGAAAGUGACGGUACCUGAGGAAUAAGCCACGGCUAACUACGUGCCAGCAGCCGCGGUAAUACGGAGGUGGCAAGCGUUAUUCGGAUUUACGGGGUGUAAAGGGCGUGUAGGCGGGAAAGCAAGUCAGAUGUGAAAACCAUGGGGUCAACCUGUGGACUGCAUUUGAAACUGUUUGUCUUGAGUACUGGAGAGGCAGACGGAAUUCCUGGUGUAGCGGUGAAAUGCGUAGAUAUCAGGAGGAACACCAGUGGCGAAGGCGGUCUGCUGGACAGCAACUGACGCUGAGGCGCGAAAGCGUGGGGAGCGAACAGGAUUAGAUACCCCAGUAGUC